rnacentral:rRNA from 1 species
AGGACGAACGCUGGCGGCGUGCUUAACACAUGCAAGUCGAGCGGAAAGGCCCUUCGGGGUACUCGAGCGGCGAACGGGUGAGUAACACGUGAGUAACCUGCCCUUGGCUCUGGGAUAGCUCCGGGAAACCGGAAUUAAUACCGGAUAUGACCACGUUAGACAUCUUUUGUGGUGGAAAGAUUUUAUCGGCCAGGGAUGGGCUCGCGGCCUAUCAGCUUGUUGGUGGGUAACGCCUACCAAGGCGACGACGGGUA